CUCCCAGACUCCUACGGGAGGCAGCAGUGGGGAAUAUUGCACAAUGGGGGAAACCCUGAUGCAGCAACGCCGCGUGAGUGAAGAAGUAUUUCGGUCUGUAAAGCUCUAUCAGCAGGGAAGAAAAUGACGGUACCUGAGUAAGAAGCCCCGGCUAACUACGUGCCAGCAGCCGCGGUAAUACGUAGGGGGCAAGCGUUAUCCGGAUUUACUGGGUGUAAAGGGAGCGUAGGCGGAGGUGCAAGUCAGCGGUCAAAUUGCGGGGCUCAACCCCGUACUGCCGUUGAAACUGCAUCCCUUGAGUGCGCGAGAAGUAUGCGGAAUGCGUGGUGUAGCGGUGAAAUGCAUAGAUAUCACGCAGAACUCCGAUUGCGAAGGCAGCAUACCGGCGCGCAACUGACGCUGAAGCACGAAAGCGUGGGUAUCGAACAGGAUUAGAUACCCUUGUA
rnacentral:rRNA from 1 species